rnacentral:rRNA from 1 species
UUGAACGCUGGCGGCAGGCCUAACACAUGCAAGUCGAGCGGUAACACAGAGAGCUUGCUCUCGGGUGACGAGCGGCGGACGGGUGAGUAAUGUCUGGGAAACUGCCUGAUGGAGGGGGAUAACUACUGGAAACGGUAGCUAAUACCGCAUAACGUCGCAAGACCAAAGUGGGGGACCUUCGGGCCUCAUGCCAUCAGAUGUGCCCAGAUGGGAUUAGCUAGUAGGUGGGGUAACGGCUCACCUAGGCGACGAUCCCUAGCUGGUCUGAGAGGAUGACCAGCCACACUGGAACUGAGACACGGUCCAGACUCCUACGGGAGGCAGCAGUGGGGAAUAUUGCACAAUGGGCGCAAGCCUGAUACAGCCAUGCCGCGUGUGUGAAGAAGGCCUUCGGGUUGUAAAGCACUUUCAGCGGGGAGGAAGGCGGUGAGGUUAAUAACCUCAUCGAUUGACGUUACCCGCAGAAGAAGCACCGGCUAACUCCGUGCCAGCAGCCGCGGUAAUACGGAGGGUGCAAGCGUUAAUCGGAAUUACUGGGCGUAAAGCGCACGCAGGCGGUCUGUCAAGUCGGAUGUGAAAUCCCCGGGCUCAACCUGGGAACUGCAUUCGAAACUGGCAGGCUAGAGUCUUGUAGAGGGGGGUAGAAUUCCAGGUGUAGCGGUGAAAUGCGUAGAGAUCUGGAGGAAUACCGGUGGCGAAGGCGGCCCCCUGGACAAAGACUGACGCUCAGGUGCGAAAGCGUGGGGAGCAAACAGGAUUAGAUACCCUGGUAGUCCACGCCGUAAACGAUGUCGAUUUGGAGGUUGUGCCCUUGAGGCGUGGCUUCCGGAGCUAACGCGUUAAAUCGACCGCCUGGGGAGUACGGCCGCAAGGUUAAAACUCAAAUGAAUUGACGGGGGCCCGCACAAGCGGUGGAGCAUGUGGUUUAAUUCGAUGCAACGCGAAGAACCUUACCUGGUCUUGACAUCCACAGAACUUUCCAGAGAUGGAUUGGUGCCUUCGGGAACUGUGAGACAGGUGCUGCAUGGCUGUCGUCAGCUCGUGUUGUGAAAUGUUGGGUUAAGUCCCGCAACGAGCGCAACCCUUAUCCUUUGUUGCCAGCGGUUCGGCCGGGAACUCAAAGGAGACUGCCAGUGAUAAACUGGAGGAAGGUGGGGAUGACGUCAAGUCAUCAUGGCCCUUACGACCAGGGCUACACACGUGCUACAAUGGCAUAUACAAAGAGAAGCGACCUCGCGAGAGCAAGCGGACCUCAUAAAGUAUGUCGUAGUCCGGAUUGGAGUCUGCAACUCGACUCCAUGAAGUCGGAAUCGCUAGUAAUCGUAGAUCAGAAUGCUACGGUGAAUACGUUCCCGGGCCUUGUACACACCGCCCGUCACACCAUGGGAGUGGGUUGCAAAAGAAGUAGGUAGCUUAACCUUCGGGAGGGCGCUUACCACUUUGUGAUUCAUGACUGGGGUG